GUAGUGACGAAAAAUACGAUGCAGANCUCAAUCCGAGGCUCUGCAAUCGGAAUGAGAACAGUUUAAAUCAUUUAACGAGUAUCCAUUGGAGGACAAGUCUGGUGCCAGCACCCGCGGUAAUUCCAGCUCCAAUAGCGUAUAUUAAAGUUGUUGCGGUUAAAAAGCUCGUAGUUGGAUCUGUGUGACACGCUGUCGGUUCACCGUUUUGAUGGUGUUUAACUGACAUGUCGUGGCACGUCCUGCCGGUUGGUAACGUGUUCUCCUUCGGGAGUGAUGCGUUUGCCAGUUCCAAUCCUGUCGCGGUGCUCUUCACCGAGUGUCGAGGCGGGCCGGCACGUUUACCUUGAACAAAUUUGAGUGCUUAAAGCAGGCUUAUAUUGCCGGAAAACUGUGUGCAUGGAAUAAUAUAAUAGGACUUCGGUUCUAUUUUGUUGGUUUUCAGAAUCCGAGGUAAUGAUUAAAAGGGCCUGGCGGGGGCAUUAGUAUUGCGACGUGAGAGGUGAAAUUCUUGGACCGUCGCAAGACUAACUGGAGCGAAAGCGUUUGCCAAGAAUGCUUCCAUUAAUCAAGAACGAAAGUUAGAGGUUCGAAGGCGAUCAGAUACCGCCCUAGUUCUAACCAUAAAUGAUGCCAGCCAGCGAUCCGUCGUCGCUCUUUUAUGACGCGACGGGCAGCUUCAGGGAAACUAAAGCUUUUGGGUUCCGGGGGAAGUAUGGUUGCAAAGCUGAAACUUAAAGGAAUUGACGGAAAGGCACCACCAGGAGUGGAGCCUGCGGCUUAAUUUGACUCAACACGGGAAAUCUCACCAGGCCANAACACCAGGUGGAUUGACAGAUUGAGAGCUCUUUCUUGAUUUGGUGGGUGGNGGUCAUGGCCG
rnacentral:rRNA from 1 species